CUUCAUCAUCUUCAAGUAUUUUCAUAUAUUACUCAAUUGCUCAAGCUCUUAAAUACAUAAUUGGAAUGAAAAGACAAUUGGAAUGCUGCCAAAAGAGGCAUUAAAAGUCUCAUCAAUCAAUGCUGGUUUUGUGGACUGUGAAUUAACUGAGACUCAAGGAUCUUCUUCUGCCCAGAUUGGGUGUAGACUGGCUACUAGUCAAUUAAAACCCUUCUCCCCACCACAUGAACCCAGACUCAGAGCUCUGACCCAAAGAAAUAGCACUCAGUCAUCUAACCAGAAAAUGAAAGCUGGUGGAGGCAAGUGCACAAGUCCACUGGUAGCCAACAACCCUCUGGGUACCUCACCUUCAUCUCUAUCCAAGGCUGAUCAAAGAGGACGAAAAUCCCAUCUUCUGCUAGAUAUUGAGUCUAUUGCAUACCAAAAAAUCUGUUAAGAUUCUUCAGAACCAGAUGAGUUGGUUUCUUACCCUAGCUGGGAACAAGCCCUCAGGAAUUUUAAGGCAUGCUUCCUCCUGCUCGUCUAAGAUUGCCAGCCUUGACUACAAAAGAAAUAAUUGACUCCUGUGACUGUUGGAUAGGCCUCUGAAUGGAGACAUCACAAGGAUUGAGAAUGCCAUGAAUUAUCAGGCCUACUUUACCUCCUGGCACUUUUGACCUCAUUCACCAUGUGGUGUAGUGAAAAAGGUCCUAGAUUUGGCAGCCCUACCUUAGAUGAUCGUUGGCUCCCACUGGCUGUCGUCUCUCCCACCAAACAAAAUAAAAAACAAAAAUCAGGAACCUACAAUAAAUCAGAGUGGAUGAAGCCGAGUUACCAGCCAGCCAACCAAAUCAAGUGCAGCCUAAAUAUGACUGCCCAGAACACGAGAUACUCCAAAUUCUUUGGAAGGGGAGCUGAAGGGACUGUCAAAGCCAUGACUCUCCCAGGUCUUGCAUGACAACAACAGGAAAGUCAGAAAGCCCUGAACCAUCAACCAUACUGAUACACACCUGGAGCCAGCUGGUCACAAACCAAAUGGCAACCUCAUGCUAUUUCUAUAGCUACCCAGAGGAAUGGUUGACUACUGCCAGGUGCCAAUUUGUCAAUGAGCUUAAUCCUGCUACCCAAUAAUUUAUAGUGGUUGCCUUUUCAAGAAGAUGGCUGGUGUUUGCCUUGUGAACUUAUUUCCUUAAGGAUUUGUAAAUUUGCAGUAAAUAGUCUUCUGGGGAUUGAAAACUUGGAAAAGAAGACAGACAGGAAUUUAAAAUGUGAAGGGGAAGAAGAAAAUAAAUAGCCUGUUUCCCUGUCACAUGUCUGGGGAAAUGGAUGUAGGAAUCAGUAGUUUAAAAGGUCAUUUUUAUAUAGCUAUUGCAACUAAAUUUGUGAAAUAAAG